rnacentral:rRNA from 1 species
CGGAGGGUGCAAGCGUUAUCCGGAUUCACUGGGUUUAAAGGGUGCGUAGGUGGGCUAGUAAGUCCGUGGUGAAAUCUCUGAGCUUAACUCGGAAACUGCCGUGGAUACUAUUAGUCUUGAAUCUCGUGGAGGUAAGCGGAAUAUGUCAUGUAGCGGUGAAAUGCUUAGAUAUGACAUAGAACACCGAUAGCGAAGGCAGCUUGCUACACGAGUAUUGACACUGAGGCACGAAAGCGUGGGGAUCAAACAGGAUUAGAUACCCUGGUAGUCCACGCCCUAAACGAUGGAUACUCGACAUACGCGAUACACAGUGUGUGUCUGAGCGAAAGCAUUAAGUAUCCCACCUGGGAAGUACGACCGCAAGGUUG